rnacentral:rRNA from 1 species
AUGCGGGAGGGGAGAGCCAAUGGCGGGGCCGACGGAGAGAGAGGCGGCGCUGACGCCGCCGCCGCGCUUCGGCGGCAGAGGCCGGCCCGGCCCCACCCGCCCUCGUCCGGCUCGGCCGCGCCGUCUUCGUCGGGUGGAGGAGAGGGAGGCAAGAAGCAGGGGAGGCGCAAGAGCAAGCGGCGGGAGCAGGUCGUGAGGGCGAUCCGGGACCGGCUGCCUCCCCCGCCCGCCUGCUGGGGCAACGUCUCGGUGGUCCGGGAGAGGAGGGGCCGGAGGGAGAGGCCUGGCGCCGACGCCGUCCGCGGCGAGGAGGAGGGGCGCUCCGGCGCGGGAACCGCCGCGCUGCCGGCGUGGUGCUGCCUCUGCCCCGAAGGGGACUGCUCGCUGGAGCCCAACCCGAGCGCCAACGGCAAGGAGGACCCCGGCCUCUGCGCCCUCAUCGAGCGCAACGACUUCUACUCCGACGACUGCAACCCGCACGCCGCCGCCGCCGCCGAAGACGACGACGACGACGGCGCGGCGAGCCCCGCCGCUGAUUUUGAUUAG